CCUACGGGAGGCAGCAGUAAGGAAUAUUGGUCAAUGGACGCAAGUCUGAACCAGCCAUGCCGCGUGGAGGAUUAAGGCCCUCUGGGUUGUAAACUCCUUUUAUCUGGGAAGAAAUGCAUUUUUUCUAAAGUGCUUGACGGUACCAGAGGAAUAAGCACCGGCUAACUCCGUGCCAGCAGCCGCGGUAAUACGGAGGGUGCAAGCGUUAUCCGGAUUCACUGGGUUUAAAGGGUGCGUAGGCGGGCAGGUAAGUCCGUGGUGAAAUCUCUGAGCUUAACUCAGAAACUGCCAUGGAUACUAUUUGUCUUGAAUAUUGUGGAGGUAAGCGGAAUAUGUCAUGUAGCGGUGAAAUGCUUAGAUAUGACAUAGAACACCAAUUGCGUAGGCAGCUUACUACACAGUUAUUGACGCUGAGGCACGAAAGCGCGGGGAUCAAACAGGAUUAGAUACCCUGGUAGUCCACGCCCUAAACGAUGAUUACUCGACAUCAGCGAUACACUGUUGGUGUCUGAGCGAAAGCAUUAAGUAAUCCACCUGGGAAGUACGAUCGCAAGAUUGAAACUCAAAGGAAUUGACGGA
rnacentral:rRNA from 1 species